UUUAUAUCAGGACUUUUGCAUCUACAAACAGGUGGCAAGUAUUUAUCACAUUAUUAACAUUAGAGACAAGUACUGAUCAUUAUGGGACUUCAAAGUGACAUCUUCACUCUCAUCAUUGUGUGUAUUUUGCUCUCAAACAGAAAAUCUCUCAAACUCAUCCACUGUUUUUCUGUAGUUUACAUUUUAUUCUUCCUGUUUUAAUAUAUCCUUCUUAUCUUUCAGGACAACUUGCACAGCUUAUUUAAAUAUAAAUAAAUGUAAUAGGCUGCAAAUCAGUCUCUGAAAUAAUUUCAGCAUAGCUUCUUUAAAUGUAAGUAAAUGUAAUAGUAUACAAAUCAGUUUCUUAAAUUUCAGCAACUACUGCAGCUUAGCAGAUCUGAUAGUCUCUCUUGACGAUAGGAUUUUCUCGUCCAAGCACAUCAUUCACCUUCCUCUAAUAUCUGGAUAUUAAAAUAGCCAAGGCUAAAGUGCAUAUCACCAAUAACAUGUGAACUAUUUGAGCUGAUAUGUACCAUCAUAUUGACAGUAUAUUCACCCAGCAUGAGUUACUACCCAAUGAAUUAGUCACCUGGAACAAAUGCCAAAUAGCAAGUUUUGUCAUACCGUUUUUAUGUAUUGUACCUAUUCUUCUAUAUUCUGCUUCAUGUUGUUUGCUGUUGAAAUCUUUUAUGCAUUUUGUGAUCAUACUGAUGUGUCUUCUAUCUCAUUCAUUUUUUUUUUUAUAUUUCUUGCUCAGCAAAACUCAGAGCAGUAACUGUCUUGUCUUUGCUGAUACUCUCCUUCAAUGGUUAAUUAUCUGCAGUUAUCAUUUUGUUUUAUGUUUCUUCACUGUAGUCUUUCCUUUUACCUUAUUUUUUUCAUUCUGAACAUUGCAUGCUUCAUUCACAUAAAUAUUAUUCAUUUAUGUUUUUCAUACAUCUACCAGUAACUGCCUUCUCUGAAUUUCUAUUGUAUGAAUUAUAUUAAUUUUUUUUUAACUCAGCAGCUGUCUCCCACCAUGACAGGGCGACCCAAAGAAGAAAACACAUUCACCAACAUUCACUGAUUUACCAUCUUUCCAGACGUGCUGACAUCACAAUCAGAUUAUCCUACGACUCAACAUCGUCACUCCUUCAGAGUGCAGGAUAGCUGCAGCUCCAAGAGAUGGGGAGAGGUACCAUCAGAUACGGCAGCUCUUACUCUACACAGUAGAUAUCUGCUGGCAUGGAACAAAAAAAAAAAGCAUUUCAUCCUAGAUGGGGACAUGGAGGGCAUCAAGUGACUCAGUGAGCCAAGCAUGUUUUCUUACAAACAAGACUACUGCGACCAUUUAGCUGGCUGAUGUAACUUAAUUGAAUGUUUGUUAAAUAUUUCUGUAUUUUCCUACACAAUGCAUUUAAUAUUGCAUGUUCUUCAAUUGCAAAAAUGUAUAUUAACUAAAUGUGCAUCUUUUAUUGAGGUCGGACAAUAUUUAUUAAAUACAUGACUAAAUAA